rnacentral:lncRNA from 1 species
CUGAGCUUUGGCUAAGCUGGCAGGAGAUCUACACUUGUCAAUGUUUGUCGUGGAUAAUUUUUCCUUCAUUUAAAGGAAUUUUCUGAUUACCAAGAUAAUACAUAUGUACCGGGGAAAACUGGCAAGAUGUGGAAAACUGCAGAAAAGAGAUUUUAAAAAUACUCUUAAUUCUCUAACAUAUACAUUUUUAUCUAAGCAGCUUCACACUACAGAGAGCCUUCAGUUAUGAAUUGUCUCGAAUGAACGCUUGAAUAUGAGGACCCAUAAGAAACCUUUAUCACUAUCUAAUUCACAAGUUAGAGUUACCGGGAAUGAUCUCCUGGCAAAAAAGCUAAACAUGCCCAGUGACUGAAAAUAGAAUUAUGUUCUUCACUCCCUUUCGGAUUCUCAAUCAACAGAUGUCACAUGGAGAUAAACAAGAUGCAUGACACACACACACCCCCACACACACAUAAAAUGAACAGAAAAUAAGCAUUGUUGAGUAAAUCUAGAGGGAUAAUCUACUGAGAGUAAUUUCUGUCUUCUCCGUGCUGCUAGAGGAAAGAGGAAAUGAACUUAACUCCCCCUUCCUACUCUGCAGUGAUGGUUAAUUUUAUGUGUCAACUUGACUGGGCUAAGUGAUGCUCAGAUAGCUGGUAAACAUUAUUUCUGAGUUCGUCUGUGAGGCUGUUUCUGGAAAAGCCAAUCCCUUAUAAUAAAUCUCUUUCUAUUUAUCUCUAUAUCGCCUAUUGGUUCUGUUUCUCUGGAGAACCUGGUCUAACACACUGCCCAGGAACAGAGAAGAGCUUGCACUGCAGGGGGUGGGGCGUGUGCGGAGAUAGCAUCCUUGGAUGUCAGGACACAAGAUGAAGAAAACUUCCACUUGGAAUUCUGUUGGGAAGAUAAGGCUCAUUCUAGAAUUAAGUUGAUGUUUCUGGGAGUAGGAGGGUUGUGCAUUGAGAGGCUGCGGUGUGGUGUGUUGCAAAAAAUAUACAUGAUUAUUUACACCUGUAUCCAGGCCCUUUGCAAUAUGACCCUGUGUCUGAUUUCCACCUCUUGAGUCUGGCCAGGUUGUGUGACUUGCUUUGAUUAACAGAAUGUGGCAGAAGUGACAGUGAGCUAGUACUGAGCCAAGACCUCAAGACACUUUGUACGAUGCUACUUGUUCUAUUGUCCCUGUCAGUGCUGUAUGGAUAAGCUUGGGAUCACCUGUUGAAGGAUGAGAGAACACAUUCCUUGUGGAGGAGACAUGAAACAUUCCAGUUGUCCCAACUAAGGCCUCAGGGAUAAGACAGAGUUCAUCCAAAGUCAGCAAAACCUCCUACCUGGCCUACAGCUGAACUCAGACACCUAAAGGAAGCUGCCAAGAUCAGAAGAACCACCCAGCUGAGCCCAGUCCAACUUGCCAAUGCAUGGACUCCAACACUAAGUAAAUAGUUAUUGUUUUAAGACACAAGUUUUGUUUAUGAUUUGUUAUGUAGCUGUAUCAGGGUUGAAGGGAGGGGAAACCUGAUGAAGAAAAGAUAGUGUGUCCCUCCAUUUGGAAAGAUGGGCAAAUAGCAGUUGUGGAGGUCUACAAGCUGGCACACUACUCCCUGUGGAGAAGUUCUGAUGGGCCGGAAAGAGUAUGGCUAAAAACCUAUCCUUAGGAGAAGCAAAGAGGGACCCUUGUAGCAGACCCAAUAUGCAAGCUGAUCAAUGCAAAUGCCUGGUACCUGCAAUCUUCUUCAUAGAUCUAUUUUGGGCUACUGGAGAUGUUUUGCUCAGAAAUACUGAGCAUCAGAGGUGCCUGGAAGUCACAUUCCUGGGGAGUCACAGUAGGCAAAGUCUGGUGACAUGGAAAGCCAAGAUCCUAAGGAGAGAUGAACUCUGAGGGGUCACUUACACUCAGAGCUCUCCCACAGAUGAGGCAGCGGUGGAGACCUCACCUGAAGUCACCCCCUUCGUAGUCUUGUCCCCUUCCUUGUCCUGUUCUCCCAUCAUUUCCCAGUGUCUCCUGGGCCAUCUCCCUACUAAACAACUUACCCUGAUCUCAGGAUCUGCUUCUGGAGAACUCAACCUAAGACAGGCAAUUUGGGGAGAACAAGAGAAGCUGGUGUAUACAGAAAUCUAACUUUGCAUGUUCCGCUAUGUUCCGGCAUCACAUUAUUCCACUAAGCCAUAACUAAUAAAAUUGUACUUAUUAGAAAUCUAACUUUGCAUGUGGCCCUAUAUUCCAGCAUCACAUUAUUCCACUAAGCCAUAAAUAAUAGAAUUGUGCUUAUUACCUAAGGCAUUUAUUACCUGGGAACAAGAGUAGGUGGGCAAAGCAACUUUUUGUGCAGUUGGAAAACAGUUUUUGCUCAUUUUCUUAACUCAUUUAAUAAACAUAUAUUUAAAACAUAGUGUAUAAUUUUCAUUUUCUUUUCAAUUCCUAAUUCACACUAUUUUUAAAUCCUUCCAUGCUUUAGACUUUAUUUAUUUUUUAUGUCAAGAACUGUGGGGAAUUCUGUAGGAAGAUACCAAAUUCAUGAUGUGAAGAAUGCAAAUAUUGGUGAUAAUAUUAAAACCAAAAACAUUAUUAAACUUAUACAGCCUGAG